rnacentral:rRNA from 1 species
ACGAACGCUGGCGGCGUGCUUAACCCAUGCAAGUCGAACGGAAAGGCCCUGCUUUUGUGGGGUGCUCGAGUGGCGAACGGGUGAGUAACACGUGAGUAACCUGCCCUUGACUUUGGGAUAACUUCAGGAAACUGGGGCUAAUACCGGAUAGGAGCUCCUGCUGCAUGGUGGGGGUUGGAAAGUUUCGGCGGUUGGGGAUGGACUCGCGGCUUAUCAGCUUGUUGGUGGGGUAGUGGCUUACCAAGGCUUUGACGGGUAGCCGGCCUGAGAGGGUGACCGGCCACAUUGGGACUGAGAUACGGCCCAGACUCCUACGGGAGGCAGCAGUGGGGAAUAUUGCACAAUGGGCGGAAGCCUGAUGCAGCAACGCCGCGUGCGGGAUGACGGCCUUCGGGUUGUAAACCGCUUUCGCCUGUGACGAAGCGUGAGUGACGGUAAUGGGUAAAGAAGCACCGGCUAACUACGUGC